rnacentral:rRNA from 1 species
UACAGAGGUCUCAAGCGUUGUUCGGAUUCACUGGGCGUAAAGGGUGCGUAGGCGGUCGGGUAAGUCUGAUGUGAAAUCUCACAGCUCAACUGUGAAACUGCAUUGGAUACUAUUCGGCUUGAGGUCUGGAGGGGGGACUGGAAUUCUCGGUGUAGCAGUGAAAUGCGUAGAUAUCGAGAGGAACACCAGUGGCGAAGGCGAGUCCCUGGACAGGUCCUGACGCUGAGGCACGAAAGCUAGGGGAGCAAACAGG